CGCUCCCCCCCCCCCCUCGCGUGGACGCAUGACGCCGACGCCCGCCCGUUCUUCCCGUCGCCACUCGCACGGCCGACGCUGCCACGCUUUCAGCCGGGCAGUCGUCGUCUGGCGAUGCCCCGUGAACCCGUCGGCCCUCGCUGCCUCACCCCGUCUGCGGCCUGCCCCGGAUCCCGGCGGCCCCUGGCGGCCUCGCCCACCGACGGCCACGCGGCCCCCCUGCCCGGCGUCCCGGCCUAUCUUGGCGCAGACGCGCAGUCCCCGCGCUAGCGCGGUCCUGAUCCCUGCCGCCCGGCGCCCACGGCUGCGCCCCGCCUGCCAUGGCCCCUUGCCGCCUGCCGCCCUGCCCGUCACUGGCUGCCAACCUCCGCUCGGCACCCUGGCCUGCCUACUUGUCUGUAUAUAUACUGUGAGUAAGACCGUUAAAUAUUGCAAUUUCAAUUCCUAAUUCCCUAUUCUACUUGCUUGAUUAUUUGUUUGCAGUACUAGCUAGCCCGUGGAAAUUUUCGUAAUUCCCUAUCUGAGUCUGGUGGGGAGAGUAUUUGGUUCAACACAUGGGUCCGAUCAGUUUCCCCUUGCUAGAUUCAUCUUAUCAGGAUGCUAAUUAUGUUAGUUUUUCUUGUUUGAAAAAUGAUUACUGGUAGAAGUAACAGCGGUGGAAGAAAGUAAUUAGACUAUUAAUUGGGCAUAUUUCGCUGUGUCUGGUGACGCUUUCGACAAAUGUCCAUACGACCCUAUUAACGAUUUGUUGUUGGGUGUGAACGUGCAAUCAUUCCUUGCUUGGCGGUUUAACAGUAGGAAUUUGAUUAUCCAAGCGCAUAUAGGAGGAUUGGACACCAUUGUCAUCCUGGUUGGAUAGCCGAUUUGGAAGGAAAGGAACAGCAAGGUCUUCAAUGGCCUCCACAAAACCUGGAAGGAGGUGGCCGGCACUGCAGUGGAGGAAGCUCGCUUUAGCAUGAAGCCAACAAGCCAAUCUAAGGAAGAACGGCUUGGUCAUAGUCACACAAUCAUUAGCGAGAUAUUGCCUUGCUUAUCUGCACUAUCCAAUAUCAAGUUGUUAAGGAACAUGCUGAUGAUGCAUUCUAUGAGCUGCAGAAUCCCUAGCAGCAAAUUCAGGCCUACGUCUUUGAUGUGGUCCGAUCCAUAGUUCCAAGAAUGAAUCUUGAUGAUAUUUUUGAGCAAAAGAAUGAUGUGGCGAAAGCUGUACUUGAGGAGCUUGAAAAGAUUUGGUUCAUAUAUUGAUUGAUUGCACCAUGCGCCUUUACCAUAAUUUCCCUUUUUAUUGUUGUAGUCCUCUGCUUGUUUCAAAAUUAAAAAGUUUCAUUGGAUAUUUUCUUGCCACUUUUUAUUAAGUUUGAUUAUAGAUAUUUUGUUCUUGUUAAUUUUGUUUCUGUAUGAAAGUUAGAUGCCCUUCUUUUUUGUCAAGAUAUGCUAGGCAGUGUUUGCAUGACACACUUUUGCUUCCUUUACGGGCAAUUCUGCCUGCUUAAGUGUCCGUAAGUAGAUCUAUUGACAUGUUUUUGUAGCAGGAGAUUGUAUAUUGUUUCCAUUGCUUCCAAGCAUAUUUUUCUUUAGCAAAGGGUUCAUAUCGAAAAUAUCUGUGCUGAUAUCAUGUAAAUUUGUUUAAUAUAAUUUGUAUAAUUGGUAAUAUUCUGUGCACUGCUUCUCCAUGAUUGCUUUGUCUUAUCACCAAGGUGACUGGAGAACCAUUAAUUCAAGGGAAAGAUGACACAACUGCAUUAUUGAAGUCAAGGCUGGAAGCCUUCCACGUACAAGCUUCCGUUGCCUCUAUCUCUGCCUCUGCUGGCAAGUGGCAAUGAUGAACUUAUCGGAUCUAUGAUUGCUGAUGCUAUUGACAAAGUUGGUCCUGACGGUGUCCUUUCAAUUGAGUCUUCAUCUUUCGAGACUACUGUUGAUGUUGAAGAAGGAAUGAAGGUGUUUUGAAAAUUCAACCUACAGUUUUGUUUCCCUAUUCUUGAUGUGCAACUUGAGAUUCACAUAUAGUAUUCCAAUAAAUAAAUAGUAUGACGACAACUUCCUCAAGCAUUUAUAAAUUUUGGUGUUCGAAGAUGUUUUAGAUGCUGGAGUCACCGACAGUGCUGAUGCUCCUGGAAAGGACACGGUCAGUCAAAUUACUAACACGUUUCAUUUUUGAAUGUAUAAUUAGGUUUGCUGACCUUAGUGUAUUUUUUUGGCAUUUACAAUGUAUUUUUAGAUAUUGUCAUGUACACGCCCUUUUUAUUUAUUAAGUCAGGGUUCACUAAACCGUUUCACCCAUUGAAGCUGAUCCCCUGUGGUAGCGUGAUUAUCACGUGAUAACCGUGAAAACUGCGAUGAAUUUGUCUUCCAAAUUUGAAUUCAAAACCGGAGAUGAUACUGGCAGCAAACACAAGGAUUCAAAGGAAGAAGCUAAAUCCAGUGAAUCAAAUCAAAAAGGUGCAAGCACUGCCAAAUCUGCUGAUAGAUCCAAGACAAACGGUCUUUCAACCAAUAUAGAAAGCAAAAGGAGAAAGAAGUCAAGUCAUCUGAAGAGGAAGAGGUGUCUGCUAAAAUUUCUACUGGAAAGAAGCGCAGAAGGCUCAUAACUGAUUGCUCUGGUCUGUGCAGUUCUUCCAAUGGGUAUUUCUGAGAGACGCAGUCAAGGUUUUUGGUUUGAGCAAUGUAGCUUGUAGUAUAUGCAACAUGAUAUUUUAAUGCUAUAACAUUAUAUUAUUUUUUUA